GCUAUAUUUGUCAUAUAUUACAUGUGUUCCUAAUAAAAUGUUAUAAACCAUCUUUAUUUGUAAAUUAUUGAAUAGACAAUAUAAUAGAAUUUUAUUUACUGGUGAAACAUCAAAAACAAGACUAAAUAAAACCAUGAAUGCUACAAAAAACUAACAAAAAAAAAAGGAAGAGCUUUAACCUAUAAAAUCUGACAAGUCGGCCUUACAAGAUGAAAAAAAUAAUAUAACUUACAAAUAUUUGGUUUACUGGUGAAACAUAAAAAACAAGUCUAAAUAAUACCAUGAAUGCUACAAAAAACUGAAGAAAAACGAACAGCUUUUACCUAUAAAAUCUGACAAGCCGGCCUUACAAGAUUAAAAGAAAAUAAAUAUUUAACAAAUAUUUUAUUUACUGGUGAAACAUCAAAAAGAAGACUAAAAAAUACCAAGAAUGCUACAAAUAACUAAAGAAAAAAGGGAGAGCUUUAACCUAUAAAAUCAGACAAGGUCACAAGAUUAAAAAAAAAGGAAUUACACACAUACAAUGUUCAUGUACCAAUUCAAAACAUAUUCUUUUAUAUAUAAAACCAAAAUCCUUUAAAAUGACAAAUCGUUUUAGAACGAACAAGAGAC
rnacentral:lncRNA from 1 species